AUCAGGACUUGAGGGGUGUGUUACAUCAGGACUUGAGGGGUGUGUUACAUCAGGACUUGAGGGGUGUGUUACAUCAGGACUUGAGGGGUGUGUUACAUCAGGACUUGAGGGGUGUGUUACAUCAGGACUUGAGGGGUGUGUUACAUCAGGACUUGAGGGGUGUGUUACAUCAGGACUUGAGGGGUGUGUUACAUCAGGACUUGAGGGGUGUGUUACAUCAGGACUUGAGGGGUGUGUUACAUCAGGACUUGAGGGGUGUGUUACAUCAGGACUUGAGGGGUGUGUUACAUCAGGACUUGAGGGGUGU